rnacentral:rRNA from 1 species
UACAGAGGUCUCAAGCGUUGUUCGGAUUCAUUGGGCGUAAAGGGUGUGUAGGUGGCGCCGUAAGUCGGGUGUGAAAUUUCGGAGUUUAACUCCGAAACUGCAUUCGAUACUGCGGUGCUUGAGGACUGGAGAGGAGACUGGAAUUCAUGGUGUAGCAGUGAAAUGCGUAGAGAUCAUGAGGAAGACCAGUGGCGAAGGCGGGUCUCUGGACAGUUCCUGACACUGAGACACGAAGGCCAGGGGAGCAAACGGG